rnacentral:rRNA from 1 species
UACGGAGGAGGCAAGCGUUAUCCGGAAUUAUUGGGCGUAAAGCGUCCGUAGAUGGUUUUGUCAGUCUGCUGUCAAAGCACAGGGCUUAACCCUGUAAAGGCAGUGGAAACUGAAAGAGCUAGAGUGCGGUAGGGGUAGAGGGAAUUCCCAGUGUAGCGGUGAAAUGCGUAGAGAUUGGGAAGAACACCGGUGGCGAAAGCGCUCUACUGGGCCUGCACUGACACUGAGGGACGAAAGCUAGGGGAGCGAAAGGG